rnacentral:rRNA from 1 species
AUUGAACGCUGGCGGAAGGCAUAACACAUGCAAGUCGAACGAGUGGCGGACGGGUGAGUAAUGUCUGGGAAACUGCCUGAUGGCGGGGGAUAACUACUGGAAACGGUAGCUAAUACCGCAUACCAUCGGAUGUGCCCAGCUGGGAUUAGCUAGUUGGUGGGGUAACGGCUCACCAAGGCGACGAUCCCUAGCUGGUCUGAGAGGAUGACCAGCCACACUGGAACUGAGACACGGCCCAGACUCCUACGGGAGGCAGCAGUGGGGAAUAUUGCACAAGGGGGGCAAGCCUGAUGCAGCCAUGCCGCGUGGAUGAAGAAGGCCUUCGGGUUUUAAAGUACUUUCAGUGGGGAGGCGUUAACCGCAGAAGAAGCACCGGCUAACUCCGUGCCAGCAGCCGCGGUAAUAC